GAAAGGAAGGGGGAGGUUUUGCAGGGGAUUCUCCUCCCCUACACCUUGAAGGCUCCAAAAAUAACCACAGCGCCGAUUUGUUUUUCUAUUGCGGGGGCGGGUCCUUGAAGGGGCAAAAUUGGUAUUUGGAAAAUUGGAAGCCCUUCUUCCUUUCUCGCAGGCGCCUCUCUCGUCUUUGCAGUCGCACUUCUCUGUUCUCCCUCUCAGCCUCGGGUCUCACUCUAGCUGUCUCAGAGACGCAUCACACAGCCUAAGAGACUCAGACUCAGCUCUCGGUCGGUGUCGAUCGGCCUCGCCGCCUUGGCCUUCAUUCCAUUCCACCCUUCUUCAUUCUCUAACUUCUUCAAUGGUGGCAGAGUAGCAGACUGGGAAUGGGAGCUCGAGCUCAAGCUCGUCUUCGCCUUCGCCUUCGUCUUCUUCACUCUUCACUGAGCUCAGAAGCGAUCGAAGGUUACAUUCUUCACUCUUCUCUGACCUUCGUUUUCUUCACCGUUAAAAACAGUAGCGUCGACCGUCAAGUCUUCACCCUUCUCGUUUUCAUCUUAUCCCCCACUGUCAGACUUCUUUCUUACAACCUAAGGGGCCCAAAUGGUUGCAGAGCAUCCUAGAAGCAUUUGUACCAGACAAACAGUGAUAUUGCUUUUACGGUGGAGAUAUGUUACUUCUAUAUCCAAUUUGUUUCUGAAUCCCAUCAAAUAUCCAAAAUUUAUGUGAAUAUUUGGUAAUGUUUGGAAGAAUAUUAGCAGACAUUAGCUACGUUUUGCUUGUGGAAUUAAUGUAGAUAGUCUUGAAUUUAACUUUUGUUAUUAAAUGCUGAAUUGAAGCUGGUUGAAGUGCUUUAGAGGAGACUUUACUUGUUACGCUAGUGCUGCAUUGGGUUAUCAUGAGCAUUAUGCUAAAAUGGAUGAGAGCACUGGUUGGAAAAAUACCUGCAUAAAUGGUAUUCUCUCAUUAGGCUCAAGAGUGGAACGAGAAUAAUUUCCGUUGGCAUCCAUCUGUCAUGUCUAUUUCACAGAGCAGACCCUUUAUUUUGCUUUUUGUUUUUUGGUUUCUCUUGUUUUCUGUCAUCAGUUAAAUUUAACUUGGUUCAAUGGUUUUUAUGACAGUCAUUAUUAUUCAUUUUGGAAA